rnacentral:rRNA from 1 species
GAUGAACGCUGGCGGCGUGCCUAAUACAUGCAAGUCGAGCGAACGGACCAGAAGCUUGCUUCUCUGAUGUUAGCGGCGGACGGGUGAGUAACACGUGGAUAACCUACCUAUAAGACUGGGAUAACUUCGGGAAACCGUAGCUAAUACCGGAUAAUAUUUUGAACCGCAUGGUUCAAAAGUGAAAGACGGUCUUGCUGUCACUUAUAGAUGGAUCCGCGCUGCAUUAGCUAGUUGGUAAGGUAACGGCUUACCAAGGCAACGAUGCAUAGCCGACCUGAGAGGGUGAUCGGCCACACUGGAACUGAGACACGGUCCAGACUCCUACGGGAGGCAGCAGUAGGGAAUCUUCCGCAAAGGGCGAAAGCCUGACGGAGCAACGCCGCGUGAGUGAUGAAGGUCUUCGGAUCGUAAAACUCUGUUAUUAGGGAAGAACAUAUGUGUAAGUAACUGUGCACAUCUUGACGGUACCUAAUCAGAAAGCCACGGCUAACUACGUG